rnacentral:lncRNA from 1 species
CAUUUAUCAUGAAACGAUGAAUCUCUUGUAACCUUGUUGCCGUCUAUCGGACAUGAGGGAGAAGCAGCGCUGGUAAUAGGGAUAGAAAUUUCUCUAAAAUUCGAUCACAGACUGCGAUUUCGCUGAGGACCGGUUUAUAUCGCAUAUUGUACCAAAUCUUAUUAAUAAAUUUAGAAUCUCUAAAUGCAUGGAGAAAAGCUGAGGACACUUUACAGAGACUGUUAGGCAGAGCUGUUCAGGUUCGACAGCAGCUGGGGAACAAUCGACACUGGACUACACCAGUGACGAGUCAAAACGCGAUGAGAAGUGAAGAACACCAAAAUAUUGAGGUCGUAACUGGUAUAAAGUACCCCAAAGAACACGAUGAACGCCAAAGUUAGGGAAGUCGAUUGCUUUUUUGA